rnacentral:rRNA from 1 species
AGAGUUUGAUCAUGGCUCAGGACGAACGCUGGCGGCGUGCUUAACACAUGCAAGUCGAACGGAGAUGUUAGUAAUAACAUCUUAGUGGCGGACGGGUGAGUAACGCGUGGGCAACUUGCCUCAGACUGGGGGAUAACACAGGGAAACUUGUGCUAAUACCGCAUAACAUCGAGAGUGGACAUCCACUUUCGAUCAAAGGAGUAAUCCGGUUUGAGAUGGGCCCGCGUCCGAUUAGCUAGUUGGCGGUGUAAUGGACCACCAAGGCGACGAUCGGUAGCCGAACUGAGAGGUUGAUCGGCCACAUUGGGACUGAGACACGGCCCAGACUCCUACGGGAGGCAGCAGUGGGGAAUAUUGCACAAUGGGGGAAACCCUGAUGCAGCAACGCCGCGUGAAGGAUGAAGGUUUUCGGAUUGUAAACUUCUUUGAUGAGGGACGAAUAAUGACGGUACCUC